GAUGAACGCUGGCGGCGUGCCUAAUACAUGCAAGUCGAGCGAACAGAUGAGGAGCUUGCUCCUCUGACGUUAGCGGCGGACGGGUGAGUAACACGUGGAUAACCUACCUAUAAGACUGGGAUAACUUCGGGAAACCGGAGCUAAUACCGGAUAAUAUAUUGAACCUCAUGGUUCAUUAGUGAAAGACGGUUUUGCUGUUACUUAUAGAUGGAUCCGCGCCGCAUUAGCUAGUUGGUAAGGUAACGGCUUACCAAGGCAACGAUGCGUAGCCGACCUGGGAGGGUGAUCGGCCACACUGGAACUGAGACACGGUCCAGACUCCUACGGGAGGCAGCAGUAGGGAAUCUGCCGCAAUGGGCGAAAGCCUGACGGAGCAACGCCGCGUGAGUGAUGAAGGUCUUCGGAUCGUAAAACUCUGUUAUUAGGGAAGAACAAAUGUGUAAGUAACUAUGCACGUCUUGACGGUACCUAAUCAGAAAGCCACGGCUAACUACGUG
rnacentral:rRNA from 1 species